CCUACGGGUGGCAGCAGUGAGGAAUAUUGGUCAAUGGGCGCGAGCCUGAACCAGCCAAGUAGCGUGAAGGAUGACUGCCCUAUGGGUUGUAAACUUCUUUUAUAAAGGAAUAAAACGAGGCACGUGUGCCUUUUUGUAUGUACUUUAUGAAUAAGGAUCGGCUAACUCCGUGCCAGCAGCCGCGGUAAUACGGAGGAUCCGAGCGUUAUCCGGAUGUAUUGGGUUUAAAGGGAGCGUAGGUGGGUUGUUAAGUCAGUUGUGAAAGUUUGCGGCUCAACCGUAAAAUUGCAAUUGAUACUGGCAGUCUUGAGUACAGUAGAGGUAGGCGGAAUUCGUGGUGUAGCGGUGAAAUGCUUAGAUAUCACGAAGAACUCCGAUUGCGAAGGCAGCUCACUGGACUGCGACUGACACUGAUGCUCGAAAGUGUGGGUAUCAAACAGGAUUAGAUACCCGAGUAGUC
rnacentral:rRNA from 1 species